CCUGAGAAACCCAAAAGAUCGAAUAGGGAGAUUCAUCGUCAGCAUAUUUCGUAUAUGUAURAGUUAUGAUGUGGGUUACUUUUGUAUUGCUUGCACAUUCUUGUACAUUUAGUUUCGGAAUAUGUCGGCGUGCACUUCUCCCUUAGUAGAACGUCGCAACCCGUUGAGUGUCGGUCUAUGRCCCGAGUGGGAGCCUUUAAUGUUUUUAACAUUGAAGACCCUUGGUGUUCUGACCGACUGCUCGGCGGUACUCGUAUGGUAUUAAGYCGCAUGMUUUAUGCGUUCAUAUCUGUCACAAGCGAGGUCAAUUUCUGGCAGUACGGACCUAGUGCCGUCGUUGGAUUUGACCAGCUGUUGGUUGACGGUAUUCUAGGACAGGCUCAUACCGGU
rnacentral:rRNA from 1 species